CCAAUUGCUUGAGGCAAUGAUUAUAAUGCAAACAAAGUGCUGGAAUCUUUAGCAUAGUUUGUUAUUGGAUUUCAUUCUAAAAUUUUAAACUAACCUGUGUGCCUGAAAUGAAUUGUACCAGAAAUCUCAUGGUCCCUGACAGAACAAGAGAGUAAUUUGGCUCUUAUGGAGUUAUGGUUUAAGCCUUGCUAAGGAAUUAGUGAUCUUGAAUUGCCCUUGUUUAUUGCAAUAAAUGCAAUUAUCAGUCUUGUGUCAAGGGAUAUACUAAUCAAAUAUUUGUUUAUGUUGAGAACUGAAUCAUUCAAUUCAUUUGGCUCCAAAGCCUGUCAGGAGAAAUUGCUGAAAAGGUAGCUGAAAGAGAGGCUUGCUUGUUGAUCUUGAUCUUCUCUCAUUAAGUAUUCUGUCCCUUAGAUUUCACUUUUCACAUUGGAUUUGGGGAUAAAUUCAAGGUUUUGAAUGAGAAGCAGGGGCUAAAGGCAGACAAAGAGAGGUUAGAGUGUCAAGACUCAAGUCAGAGCUAUCUCUUCAUCACCAAGAUUUCUGCCUCGUACCUUGCAAUUCCAGUUGCAUUUGCUUCCUAAGCACAAGCUUCUGGUAACAAGAUCAUGCCUUCCAUCAGCUACCUUGGUGUUGCAAUGUGGCUCAUGACACUUGUUUCAGCUGACACAGCAGAAUCUCAGAUGUCUCGCCUCCCAGUUGCUUAAUUUGGAAAACAUUCAUGAUGGUUAGUGCAGAUAGACUACAAUGUGACAAGCAAGAACCAAUAUUUUGAUCCUGUUGAAUCAAGGUAACCAAAGCCAAAUUCUUUCCUUCAUCUUCUCUGUAUGAGUAAAGGUUCCUAAAGGUCACCUGUAAUCAAAGUUAUCUUGAAUUGUCUUAGAAUUUAAUGUUCAGGUCUGCCUCAACUCUUUGUUUCUUUGGUUAAACCUUCCCUCAGCAUGAACUAAGCGCGGAUGCUUGCAUACUUGACAGAAAUGGUAUCAAGGUACACUUUCUGCAUUUAGAAGAUCAAUUGUUUUAUAUAGAAGAUCACGGGGAAAGUUUGAGUGCUUUAUAGAAAUGUAAUCGAGCUAACUAUGGGUCUGGGUUAGGUAGAAUUUCAGAUGGUAGCAGAAGAGCAGUUAAUCAGCUGAUGACGCGAGAGGUGUUUUCAUAAAACCAUCUAUAGAAGGGGCAGUUGCAGGAGAUGGUGUAGGACUGGUCAAUGGCGAGGUACGCGGGGCUGAAGGAGACAUUGUUGGAGUCAUUUCUGGUGAUUGUGAUGGUGAGAGAUUAAAAAUUUCUGGAGGUGGAGAGGAAGCGGGAGGAAUGUCGGUGGAAGCAGGUGGUAGAGUCGAAGUAGUUGGAGGUGAUGGAAGGCUUGGUGAAGCUGGUGGCGGGGUUAAGGGAGAGGCCAGUGGUGGGGUAGAAGUUGCAAGAGUGUCUAUUUCAAGCUUCAUACCUCCGGCACAAUGUCCUGGUGUUGCACAGGUGAAGUAUCUCUUGCCAGGAGAAGAAAGAGGGAUGACUGUUGUGCCACCACUGUAUGACUUUAGUGGGCUAGUUAUCUGGCAGGAGUCAUAGUCUGCCUUUGAAACUUCAUUCACAUCAUGCACGAGUCCAUACUGGAAGACUGAAAUAGAUAACGAGUUAGUCCCGAUACAUUUUCAAACAAUGCAGAGAUUGGGCUGUUCAAAACUCAUGUCUUUUUAACGCAAAAAUACCAGCAGGAUAAAUUAGAAACUCACUGAGGUUAUCUCCAACUAAGAAUUUAUUUGAUGCUGCCCAAGCUUGCAGGUUUGUGGUUGCAUCCCAUCCACCAUUUGGACCACCGACAGUAUAAUUAGCAGCCAUGGACAAUCUUAGCAUCAUGGCCAUAAGGGCCAAGCUGGUGAAUGUUCUCACCAUCGCAAUAAUAAUGUGGCUAUGAAACAGGAAAUUGCAGAAGAUACAGAUACAAUGUAGAAUGUUUAUCACAGAAAAAAGUCUUAGUGUUUGGCUUCAAUAGGGAUUCCUUUUAUAGAGACACAAGGGACAAAAGAGGAUACUUGUUAGCAUGAAGAUAAUACUAUAUAUCAAUUAAUGGUUUCCAAGUUGGAUUUGGUUCAACUGUUAUGGCAAUGUAAUGACAGGUUGUUCAGUAUCUUAUGAUAUUGUUUCUCACCCUGCAAGAGGUGGAUUGUUGUGCUCACCAUGAUCUGCUAGAAGUUUAGGUGCAGCUUACCUCUCAUUUGACUUGGUGUACUUUAAUCAUAUCAAAACAUGCUAAUUGCUUGAACCAA